AAGGAGUCUUAAUUUUUAAGAUAAGUUACUACAUUGGAUUACUGCUUUGAGUGCAGGUCUUUGGAUCAGAAAGAUCCAAAAACCUGCAGUCUGGAAUAUUUGUGGAAGAAGUUAAAACCUUUGUUCUCAGAGAAAUGCAAGAGCUGCAAUUACACCAAACCUCUUAUGGAGUAUCCUGGUGGGAAGAGGGCCCUUGUGCAAUGUCCUUUUCUGCACACCCAAGCAGAAGUCAGGCAUAAUAUAUUUCAGAAUGAGGAUGCUGAAUUCCCCUGCUACUUCAGCAGAACAAAUCAGGAUGCAUACUUCCAUCUUGCGUAUCAGGAUGAAAGAGAUCAGUGCUGGAGACAACGGAGAAAUCAAGCAAACUCUGCACUGAGAAAAAUGUGAUGGGGAAACCCCAUUGUCUGCUGAAGAAAAUUCACUGUUCUUUCUGUCAGAAGUUAAAUCCUAUGAGUGUCAAAUAUACUUGAUAAACAGAA